rnacentral:rRNA from 1 species
UGGGGAAUUUUGGACCAUGGGCGAAAGCCUGAUCCAACAAUGCCGCGUGUGUGAAGAAGGCCUUCGGGUUGUAAAGCACUUUUGUCCGGAAAGAAAUGGCUCUGGUUAAUACCUGGGGUCGAUGACGGUACCGGAAGAAUAAGGACCGGCUAACUACGUGCCAGCAGCCGCGGUAAUACGUAGGGUCCAAGCGUUAAUCGGAAUUACUGGGGGUAAAGCGUGCGCAGGCGGUUGUGCAAGACCGAUGUGAAAUCCCCGAGCUUAACUUGGGAAUUGCAUUGGUGACUGGACGGCUAGAGUGUGUCAGAGGGGGGUAGAAUUCCACGUGUAGCAGUGAAAUGCGUAGAGAUGUGGAGGAAUACCGAUGGCGAAGGCAGCCCCCUGGGAUAACACUGACGCUCAUGCACGAAAGCGUGGGGAGCAAACAGG